rnacentral:rRNA from 1 species
UACGUAGGGUGCGAGCGUUACUCGGAAUUACUGGGCGUAAAGCGUGCGCAGGCGGUUUUGUAAGCCAGAUGUGAAAUCCCCGGGCUUAACCUGGGAAUGGCAUUUGGGACUGCAAGGCUUGAGUGCGGCAGAGGAGACUGGAAUUCCUGGUGUAGCAGUGAAAUGCGUAGAUAUCAGGAGGAACACCGGUGGUGUAAACGGCUUUCUGGACCAUAACUGACGCUGAGGCACGAAAGCGUGGGUAGCAAACAGG